UGUGGAGCUGAACAAAAUUUGUUUUGUAAUUUUUAAAUUUUUCUACACAUUUAUCAAAUUUCAGCUGAUUUAAAAAACAAAAGAAAAGUAAACUAAUAGGAUAAACACUUUACAUCUAGGCCUCUAUACUUUUGUCAUUCUCAACAUAUUGUGAUCUGUAUUGUCAAUAAUCAAAUAAUCAGAAGAUUUUGCAUUGGAAACCCUAAAAAAGUUUAUAUUCCUUUUUUCUCUUUCCAACGCUGACGGGCCGAUUCGGAGCCAAGGCUGGCCGAUUCCGAAACUUGGCAGACAGAAACAAGGUGGCAGAUUGAAAUUUUGUUUCUUUAUAGAUAAAGUAUAGAAUUGAUAUUGUUCGUCCA
rnacentral:lncRNA from 1 species